rnacentral:rRNA from 1 species
AUACGGAGGGUCCAAGCGUUAUCCGGAAUCAUUGGGUUUAAAGGGUCCGCAGGCGGUCAAUUAAGUCAGAGGUGAAAGCCCAUCGCUCAACGAUGGAACUGCCUUUGAUACUGGUUGACUUGAGUUAUACGGAAGUAGAUAGAAUAAGUAGUGUAGCGGUGAAAUGCAUAGAUAUUACUUAGAAUACCGAUUGCGAAGGUAGUCUACUACGUAUAUACUGACGCUGAGGGACGAAAGCGUGGGGAGCGAACAGGAUUAGAAACCCUAGUAGUCC